rnacentral:rRNA from 1 species
GACGAACGCUGGCGGCGUGCCUAAUACAUGCAAGUAGAACGCUGAAGGAGGAGCUUGCUCUUCUGGAUGAGUUGCGAACGGGUGAGUAACGCGUAGGUAACCUGCCUGGUAGCGGGGGAUAACUAUUGGAAACGAUAGCUAAUACCGCAUAACAGUAGAUGUUGCAUGACAUUUGCUUAAAAGGUGCAAUUGCACCACUACCAGAUGGACCUGCGUUGUAUUAGCUAGUUGGUGGGGUAACGGCUCACCAAGGCGACGAUACAUAGCCGACCUGAGAGGGUGAUCGGCCACACUGGGAGUGAGACACGGCCCAGACGCCUACGGGAGGCAGCAGUAGGGAAUCUUCAGCAAUGGACGGAAGUCUGACCGAGCAACGCCGCGUGAGUGAAGAAGGGUUUCGGAUCGUAAAGCUCUGUUGUAAGAGAAGAAAGAGUGUGAGAGUGGAAAGUUCACACUGUGACGGUAUCUAACCAGAAAGAGACGGCUAACUACGUG